rnacentral:lncRNA from 1 species
CCAGUAGAAUAGAAUGAUGAACCUCUAGGUGCAGUUAUCAUGUGAUACAGUCCUUCUAUCGUGGAUCCCUACAAGACGGAGGUCAUGGAUAACUCGUCAAAUCCCUUCGUCCGUCAUAUGUCAAGAUUUAUUCGACUUAAGUUCGAGAGCGGAGAACUCUUUCUCCACUGUGCAAUCUGCCCCGGCCGAGGCCUUACAAACUCAGUCUUACAAAUCACAUAGGAUCUCUCCUUAUCUAUCAA